AGAGUUUGAUCCUGGCUCAGAAUGAACGCUGGCGGCGUGCCUAACACAUGCAAGUCGGAUGUGCCGCAAGGUGCAUGGCAGACGGGUGAGUAACGCGUGGGGAAUCUACCUUUUAGUGGGGAAUAACGCUCCGAAAGGAGUGGUAAUACCGCAUGAGACCGAGUGCUGGGAUGCAUUUGGUGAAACCUGGGGACCGGUAACGGCCUGGGGCUAAGAGAGGAUCCUGCGUCUGAUUAGCUAGUUGGCGGGGUAAUGGCCCACCAAGGCGACGAUCAGUAGCCGGCCUGAGAGGGUGAUCGGCCACACUGGAACUGAGACACGGUCCAGACUCCUACGGGGGGCAGCAGUGGGGAAUUUUGCGCAAUGGGCGAAAGCCUGACGCAGCAACGCCGCGUGGGUGAUGAAGGUCUUCGGACUGUAAAACCCUGUCGUCAGGGACGAAGGUGGCAGUGUUAAUAGCGCUGUUACUUGACGGUACCUGGAGAGGAAGCCCCGGCUAACUCUGUGCCAGCAGCCGCGGUAAUACAGAGGGGGCAAGCGUUAUUCGGAAUUAUUGGGCGUAAAGGGCGCGUAGGCGGUUUUUUAAGUCAGAUGUGUAAUCCCCGAGCUUAACUUGGGAACUGCAUCUGAGACUGGAAGGCUAGAGUACUGGAGAGGGUGGUGGAAUUCCUCGUGUAGCGGUGAAAUGCGUAGAGAUGAGGAGGAACACCAGUGGCGAAGGCGGCCACCUGGACAGUAACUGACGCUGAGGCGCGAAAGUGUGGGUAGCAAACAGGAUUAGAUACCCUGGU
rnacentral:rRNA from 1 species